GUCUGAGCACCCUGAGCCAAUGAAACUUCACAGUAUGGUUUAAAUCUUGAGAAGCAGCCGUGGAAGGGGCGGUACUUCUAGUCCCCAUGCCGGUCCUGUGUUGCAGUCUGUAUGUAGCACGUUCUCGUCUAAGCCCCUGGCGAUCGACUAGAAGGGACGGACAGUGUGUAGUUGGGUCUUUCCUCUUCUGCAACCUGCGCCAAGAGGCUCGGUCUCUUCGCUCUUGGCUUUAGUUUCCAUGGUCCCCGCAGCCGAGUCUUCGAGCCCUUAGAGAUAUCUGGCUACAUCUUCAAACAUCACCAGGAUCUUCAAUGAUGGAUUCAGCUGAGACAAGCCGCCUUACUGUGUAUCUGCCCAUGAAAACCCUAGCCCGGAAAGCAGGAGAAUCAGUAACUGAUAAUUACCUGUGCCCUGACCUGUGUGACGAUCCCUCACAGACCCUAGUAUCUUCACCAGAAGCUUCUGCUGCUGAAGAAUCAUCACUCUUGGUUGUUGUGUUCUGUAUCAGCAUACACAGCGAGAC